rnacentral:rRNA from 1 species
UGGGGAAUAUUGCACAAUGGGGGAAACCCUGAUGCAGCGACGCCGCGUGAGCGAAGAAGGUUUUCGAAUCGUAAAGCUCUGUCCUAUGAGAAGAUAAUGACGGUAUCAUAGGAGGAAGCCCCGGCUAACUACGUGCCAGCAGCCGCGGUAAUACGUAGGGCGCGAGCGUUGUCCGGAAUUAUUGGGCGUAAAGGGCUUGUAGGUGGCGUGUCGCGUCUGCUGUGAAAUUCCAGGGCUUAACUUUGGGAUUGCAGUGGGUACGGGCAUGCUAGAGUGCAGUAGGGGAGAUUGGAAUUCCUGGUGUAGCGGUGAAAUGCGCAGAUAUCAGGAGGAACACCGGUGGCGAAAGCGGCUUUUUGGCCUGCAACUGACACUGAGGCGCGAAAGCGUGGGGAGCAAACAGG